GAUGAAGAACGUAGCGAAAUGCGAUAAGUAAUGUGAAUUGCAGAAUUCAGUGAAUCAUCGAAUCUUUGAACGCACAUUGCGCCCGCCAGUAUUCUGGCGGGCAUGCCUGUUCGAGCGUCAUUUCAACCCUCAGGCCCCCAGUGCCUGGUGUUGGGGAUCGGCCCAGCCUUCCUGUAAGGCCGCCGGCCCCGAAAUCUAGUGGCGGUCUCGCUGUAGUCCUCCUCUGCGUAGUAGCACAACCUCGCAGUUGGAACGCGGCGGUGGCCAUGCCGUUAAACACCCCCCUUCUGAAAGUUGACCUCGGAUCAGGUAGGAAUACCCGCUGAACUUAAGCAUAUCAAUAAGCGGAGGA
rnacentral:misc_RNA from 1 species